AUCCAAUUGACAAGUACCAAACAGGACGAAACGCGUGUCCUGGAU
rfam:Schistosoma curassoni strain Dakar, Senegal genome assembly, scaffold: SCTD_contig0001089